rnacentral:rRNA from 1 species
UACGUAGGGUGCGAGCGUUAAUCGGAAUUACUGGGCGUAAAGGGUGCGCAGGCGGUUAUAUAAGACAGAUGUGAAAUCCCCGGGCUCAACCUGGGAACUGCAUUUGUGACUGCAUCGCUGGAGUGCGGCAGAGGGGGAUGGAAUUCCGCGUGUAGCAGUGAAAUGCGUAGAUAUGCGGAGGAACACCGAUGGCGAAGGCAAUCCCCUGGGCCUGCACUGACGCUCAUGCACGAAAGCGUGGGGAGCAAACAGG